GAUGAACGCUGGCGGCGUGCCUAAUACAUGCAAGUCGAACGCACAGCGAAAGGUGCUUACACCCUUCAAGUGAGUGGCGAACGGGUGAGUAACACGUGGACAACCUGCCUCAAGGCUGGGGAUAACAUUUGGAAACAGAUGCUAAUACCGAAUAAAACUCAGUGUCGCAUGACACGAAGUUAAAAGGCGCUUUGGCGUCACCUAGAGAUGGAUCCGCGGUG
rnacentral:rRNA from 1 species